UGGGGGAUAUUGCACAAUGGGCGAAAGCCUGAUGCAGCAACGCCGCGUGAGGGAAGACGGUUUUCGGAUUGUAAACCUUUGUCUUUGGUGAAGAAAAAAAUGACGGUAACCAAGGAGGAAGCCACGGCUAACUACGUGCCAGCAGCCGCGGUAAUACGUAGGUGGCGAGCGUUGUCCGGAAUUACUGGGUGUAAAGGGAGCGCAGGCGGGACUGCAAGUUGGAUGUGAAAAUUCGAGGCUUAACCUCGAACCUGCAUCCAAAACUGCGGUUCUUGAGUGAAGUAGAGGUAGGCGGAAUUCCGAGUGUAGCGGUGAAAUGCGUAGAUAUUCGGAGGAACACCAGUGGCGAAGGCGGCCUACUGGGCUUUAACUGACGCUGAGGCUCGAAAGUGUGGGGAGCAAACA
rnacentral:rRNA from 1 species